AUUCCGGUCAAAAAGGCUAUUCACGGUACUUCACAAUGCAAAGCGACCAAGUGGUGUAACUCCUGCUGCUCGUGUGAGUUGGAAUUUGCCGUUCUCUGCCAAGUAUGUGGUACAGGUGCUGAUCUCUCAUCAACUGAGAAAUACUACAUAUUAAGACACACCAAAAUAUUCCUGAGGAAAACAAAACUAACAGAGAUAAUAUAAGAAAAGGGAAAGAAGAAAAAUAGAUCCAGGGGAUAUAGACUAUACAAUAGUCUAAAACCCUAUAAAAGAAGAAAGAAGAAGAAGAAGAA